rnacentral:rRNA from 1 species
GACAGAGGUGCCGAGCGUUAGGCGGAAUCACUGGGCUUAAAGCGUGUGUAGGCGGACUUUUAAGUGCCUUGUGAAAUCCCCCGGCUCAACCGGGGAACGGCUGGGCAGACUGGAAGUCUUGAGCGACCCAGGGGCGAGCGGAACAAAUGGUGGAGCGGUGAAAUGCGUAGAUAUCAUUUGGAACGCCGAAGGCGAAAGCAGCUCGCUGGGGGUCAUGCUGACGCUGAGACACGAAAGCCAGGGGA